UAUACCACAUGCACUAAGUACUGCUACUGUACUAGUGUUCGUAGGGCUGAACCGUACCGUGAGUACCCCUGAUUAUUGUACCACAUGCACUACGUACUCAUCCCGUAGUAGUGUUGGUAACACUGGACGAUCAUACCCAUUAAAAUAUCAUAUGUUAUACCAAUGCACUGAGUACCGCUACUAUACUAGUGUUAGUAGCAUAUGAAUUACAUAAAUAACAUGUAUAUAAUACACAUACACAUAUACAUAUACAUGUUCUAUGCUAAUCUUAAAUUGUUUCUAAAUUCAAGUGUGUCGGUCGACUUGAAUGGAAAAUCACGCACUGAAUGAAGGCCCUAUGUCACAAUCACAUAAAUUGGCUAACAACUUACUAAACCUUUCUGGGGAUCUAAACUCAAAACUAGAAGUUUUUCUAUGGAUAAAUAGUAAGGAAAUGCCCUAAAUAUCGAGGAAACAAGAGAAAAACGACAUUACGGGAAAACUAUCUAAAAAAUAGUAAUCUAUUUUCUAUAAAAACAGGGAGUCAUUUUUCAGGUUCUACACUAGUAAAAACGGUAUGUCAUUUUUCAAUGCAAAAAAAAAAAAAAGACUCCCAAAAUCGACUCAAAAUAACUCCAAACUCCAUACGAAGCCCUUGAUCACCUAAUAACAUCACAAUAGACUAGUUUCAAGCAACAGAACCUCAAAAUACGCAAAAAUUCAAAAACCACCAUUGUUGAGUCAAGUUUGAGUUCUUGAAAUCAAACUUUCUAAACAACACAACCAUCCCCAAAAAAAUAAUUGUAACAAGCUUAAAACAUCAAUUAUAAACUGUAGAAACGCCCCAAACCAAACCCUAACUCGGACAGAACCAAAAUCACCAUUGUACAUGCUUGAAUUUAAAGGAAAACUUGAAAACUUAAGAAGAAGGGCUUAGGGUUCUUACCUUGGGUUCACACCUCUUGAAAUCUUGCUAAAAACCUCAGAAUUUGGUGAAAAGAGAGUUGGGUUUUCCCUAGUUUUUGGUUGGGCUAAAAAGGGGGAGAGAGAAAAUGAAGAUUUAAUAAUUUACUUUUUGGUUUUUGUUUAUUUUCUUAAUUUUCCUUAAAACACAAGCUAAAUCUAAGUUUAUCUUUUAUUCAUUAGUUGCCAGCUAUAGAAAGUAGUGGAAUAACCAUUUAUCUCUAAAGUAAAAUGACUAAAUUAACCUUUCCUUUAGCUUAAGUAAUUAAAUGGCUUAGGGGUAAAAUAGUCCAAUACCAUAACCCCACCUAACUCGAUAUUUUAACAUCAAACGUACAAUUAUUGUAAUACCCUCAAGUUUAGUAACCGAAUCAGCAACCCUAACUAAGUUAAUUAAGUGUUAAUGAGAAAUUAUAUUAUUAUAUGAUUUAAUAUGUGGAAUUAUUGUAAUUUACUACAUUUUAAGAUCCCGUUAGUAUGUUAGGGGCAUUUUCGUAAUUUUGACUUGAGAAGGAUAAAAUUGUAAUCUUAUAAUAUAUUGUGUUUAUGGACUAUAUUAUUAUAUAGUAUGGUUAUUCUAUCUUUCUACAUGUAUUUUCUUACAAGUCGGUGCUGUAUAGUCACAACGGGGUAUUUUUGGCCGAACCGGAUUCAAGAUCCAAAAUAUAUUUUUAAGAUUUAGUUAUGGCUUAUACGUGUUAAAAGAAAAAAUAUAAUUUAUGUGAUAUAUAUGUGUGAGUGGAAAUGAAAAAUUACCCCUUUUAUGUGUUUAUGCCUUUAUAUGUGUUUUAGGGACAAUUUGGUCAUUUGACUAGAUAAUUUAUUUUCAACAAAAUAACAAUUCACCUAAGAUAAACUUCAUUUUCUGGGUUUUUUCACCUCUAAACCGCCCACCUCUCUGUUUCUCUCUAGUUAAUACUUUCAAACUCAAAUUGUGGAAGAAAGCUUGAAUUUGGUGUUGAAUUGUGUGGUUCUCUUGCUUGGAAUUUGGAGAGCAUUAGGAAAGGGUAAAGCAGUUAUUGAUCAACCAUGAGGUCGAGGGCUUUUUAUGGUACAUUGUACAUGUCCAAGUCAAGCUAGAUCACGAGGGUUCGGUUUACCAAGGGAUAUUUGUAUAAUCUCCACUUUUACCGCUUAGGUCGGUGUGUACUAAUAACUUGUAGUAUUUUGAAAAAGUUUUUAUGGGAUCCUGAAUUAAAAUGUGUACUUUUGGAUGUUUGUAAAGUUUAUUAAUUACAAAUUAUUAUUUUUUAAUUUUUAUUUUUUAAAAGUUUAA